rnacentral:rRNA from 1 species
UACGUAGGGGGCAAGCGUUAUCCGGAUUUAUUGGGCGUAAAGAGCGUGUAGGCGGCUUUACAGGUCCGUUGUGAAAACUCGAGGCUCAACCUCGAGACGCCGGUGGAAACCGUAAAGCUAGAGUCCGGAAGAGGAGAGUGGAAUUCCUGGUGUAGCGGUGAAAUGCGCAGAUAUCAGGAAGAACACCCGUGGCGAAGGCGGCUCUCUGGGACGGUACUGACGCUGAGACGCGAAAGCGUGGGGAGCGAACAGG